AAUGAGAGGCUCUGUAAUGGAGGUCUAUAAACAGGUCUUGCAGGUCAUUCCCACCAGCUGGCUCUGCACACCAGGGCUCUAUGGAAACGUGACUGUAAACACUGUGCUGGAUCAAGAGCUUCCCUACUGACAGAAGAGACGAGCUCCAAAGCACUACAAAACCCAGGAAAGAGGAGAUUUUGGGACACAGUAUGGACCUGCACGUUUCUCAGCUGGUAAAAAAAGCAUAGCCCGUAUUUCUUCUCAGCAAAAGUUUGGCGCUACCCCAACUUCAGCAAUCACAAAGACUAAUAUGCUUGAAAYGAAUGAAGAGGUAGCAGAGGAGAGAGUGACACAGGCAGUAAAUUAUGUAAGUUCUAUAAAAGCGUGGCAGUGGCAAGCAGGUUUCGAUGCUGAUGCAGCCGGCAGAGAUUUCUGCCAUGAGGGAGGAAARGAGAGAACCUGCAGCAUCAGAGCAGGAACGGGCUCACUCCAGAGCCUGCUCCAGCCUGCAGAGAGGGGAGCCUGCCACAUCCAGGAAAGGGGAAACCACUCCURAAACCUGCACAAGUGACAGUUCCCUGCGACAAAAGGGAAAAGAGAUCAUUAACUGCGAGCGAGGGGAGUUUGUGCAGAAGAGAAGCGGGGGGGACGCUCUUUAACUGYGGAGUUUUUAAAAGUGCCCUUGUUUGUUUUCUUGGCAGAGGAGMGGAGCGUUUGGCACCCAUCCUUGGAAGGUGGCCCAGCUGUACAAACGCUGGGGUUGGCCCUUUSCUCGCUGUUGCUAAGCUGAUGGCCCAAUAGCCGCCGGGGCUCUCCGCACCCCACCCGCGCUCCGGCCGCAUCCAGCCUCCGGCCCGCCCGCCUUAAAAAGCUGCUUUUCUCCCACUUGCUAAUAAUAAUAAUUCAAAAAAAAAA